CAAAGGAAUUGACGGGGGCCCGCACAAGCGGUGGAGCAUGUGGUUUAAUUCGAUGAUACGCGAGGAACCUUACCUGGGCUCAAAUGUAUGUUGACGUAUUCUGAAAGGGAUACUUCUUCGGACAAUAUACAAGGUGCUGCAUGGUUGUCGUCAGCUCGUGCCGUGAGGUGUCGGGUUAAGUCCCAUAACGAGCGCAACCCCUAUCAUUAGUUGCCAUCAGGUCAAGCUGGGGACUCUAAUGAAACUGCCUACGCAAGUAGUGAGGAAGGUGGGGAUGACGUCAAAUCAGCACGGCCCUUACGUCCAGGGCUACACACGUGCUACAAUGGCCGGUACAAAGGGCAGCUACCUGGUGACAGGAUGCAAAUCUCCAAAGUCGGUCUCAGUUCGGAUCGGAGUCUGCAACCCGACUCCGUGAAGUUGGAUUCGCUAGUAAUCGCGCAUCAGCCAUGGCGCGGUGAAUACGUUCCCGGGCCUU
rnacentral:rRNA from 1 species